CCGAAUCUUCUACUGGUACAUGGACAACUGUAUGGACCGAUGGACUUACCAGUCUUGAUCGUUACAAAGGGCGAUGCUACCGCAUCGAGCGUGUUGUUGGAGAAAAAGAUCAAUAUAUUGCUUAUGUAGCUUACCCUUUAGACCUUUUUGAAGAAGGUUCCGUUACCAAUAUGUUUACUUCCAUUGUAGGUAAUGUAUUUGGGUUCAAAGCCCUGCGCGCUCUACGUCUGGAAGAUCUGCGAAUCCCUCCUGCUUAUGUUAAAACUUUCCAAGGUCCGCCUCAUGGGAUCCAAGUUGAAAGAGAUAAAUUGAACAAGUAUGGUCGUCCCCUGUUGGGAUGUACUAUUAAACCUANUUUUUUUUUUUUUUUUACCUUUCAUAGAGGAAUUCCAUAUAUUUUCACAUCUAGGAUUUACAUAUACAACAUAUACCGCUGUCAAGGGGGAAGUUCUUAUUAUUUAGGUUAGUUAGGUAUUUCCAUUUCAAAAAAAAAAAAAGGUAAAAAGUCCAAAUUGGGUUGCGCUAUAUAUAUGAAAGAGUAUACAAUAAUGAUGUAUUUGGCAAAUCAAAUACCAUGGUCUAAUAAUCAACCAUUCUGAUUAAUUGAUAAUAUUAGUAUUAGUUGGAAAUUUUGUGAAAGAUUCCUGUGAAAAGUUUCAUUAACGCGGAAUUCGUGUCGAGUAGACCUUGUUGUUGUGAGAAUUCUUAAUUCAAUUCAUGAGUUGUAGGGAGGGAUUUAUGUCACCACAAACAGAGACUAAAGCAAGUGUUGGAUUCAAAGCUGGUGUUAAAGAGUACAAAUUGACUUAUUAUACUCCUGAGUACCAAACCAAGGAUACUGAUAUAUUGGCAGCAUUCCGAGUAACUCCUCAACCUGGAGUUCCACCUGAAGAAGCAGGGGCCGCGGUAGCUGCCGAAUCUUCUACUGGUACAUGGACAACUGUAUGGACCGAUGGACUUACCAGUCUUGAUCGUUACAAAGGGCGAUGCUACCGCAUCGAGCGUGUUGUUGGAGAAAAAGAUCAAUAUAUUGCUUAUGUAGCUUACCCUUUAGACCUUUUUGAAGAAGGUUCCGUUACCAAUAUGUUUACUUCCAUUGUAGGUAAUGUAUUUGGGUUCAAAGCCCUGCGCGCUCUACGUCUGGAAGAUCUGCGAAUCCCUCCUGCUUAUGUUAAAACUUUCCAAGGUCCGCCUCAUGGGAUCCAAGUUGAAAGAGAUAAAUUGAACAAGUAUGGUCGUCCCCUGUUGGGAUGUACUAUUAAACCUAAAUUGGGGUUAUCUGCUAAAAACUACGGUAGAGCUGUUUAUGAAUGUCUUCGCGGUGGACUUGAUUUUACCAAAGAUGAUGAGAACGUGAACUCACAACCAUUUAUGCGUUGGAGAGAUCGUUUCUGCUUUUGUGCCGAAGCCCUUUUUAAAGCACAGGCUGAAACAGGUGAAAUUAAAGGACAUUACUUGAAUGCUACUGCAGGUACAUGCGAAGAAAUGAUCAAAAGAGCUGUAUUUGCUAGAGAAUUGGGCGUUCCGAUCGUAAUGCAUGACUACUUAACGGGGGGAUUCACCGCAAAUACUACCUUGGCUCAUUAUUGCCGAGAUAAUGGUCUACUUCUUCACAUCCACCGUGCAAUGCAUGCGGUUAUUGAUAGACAGAAGAAUCAUGGUAUCCACUUCCGGGUAUUAGCAAAAGCGUUACGUAUGUCUGGUGGAGAUCAUAUUCACGCUGGUACCGUAGUAGGUAAACUUGAAGGUGAAAGAGACAUAACUUUGGGCUUUGUUGAUUUACUGCUGAUUUUGUUGAACAAGAUAGAAGUCGCGGUAUUUAUUUCACUCUAGAUUGGGUCUCUUUACCAGGUGUUAUACCUGUGGCUUCAGGAGGUAUUCACGUUUGGCAUAUGCCUGCUCUGAUCGAGAUCUUUGGGGAUGAUUCCGUACUACAGUUCGGUGGAGGAACUUUAGGACAUCCUUGGGGUAAUGCGCCAGGUGUUNAUCUAGGAUUUACAUAUACAACAUAUACCGCUGUCAAGGGGGAAGUUCUUAUUAUUUAGGUUAGUUAGGUAUUUCCAUUUCAAAAAAAAAAAAAGGUAAAAAGUCCAAAUUGGGUUGCGCUAUAUAUAUGAAAGAGUAUACAAUAAUGAUGUAUUUGGCAAAUCAAAUACCAUGGUCUAAUAAUCAACCAUUCUGAUUAAUUGAUAAUAUUAGUAUUAGUUGGAAAUUUUGUGAAAGAUUCCUGUGAAAAGUUUCAUUAACGCGGAAUUCGUGUCGAGUAGACCUUGUUGUUGUGAGAAUUCUUAAUUCAAUUCAUGAGUUGUAGGGAGGGAUUUAUGUCACCACAAACAGAGACUAAAGCAAGUGUUGGAUUCAAAGCUGGUGUUAAAGAGUACAAAUUGACUUAUUAUACUCCUGAGUACCAAACCAAGGAUACUGAUAUAUUGGCAGCAUUCCGAGUAACUCCUCAACCUGGAGUUCCACCUGAAGAAGCAGGGGCCACGGUAGCUGCCGAAUCUUCUACUGGUACAUGGACAACUGUAUGGACCGAUGGACUUACCAGUCUUGAUCAUUACAAAGGGCGAUGCUACCGCAUCGAGCUNACAGUAGACAUUAGCAGAUAAAUUAGCAGGAAAUAAAGAAGGAUAAGGAGAAAGAACUCAAGUAAUUAUCCUUCGUUCUCUUAAUUGAAUUACAAUAAAACUCGGCCCAAUCUUUUAUUAAAAGGAUUGAGCCGAAUACAACUAAGAUUCUAUUGCAUAUAUUUUGAUCAAGAUUUGAAAUACAAAAUCUAGAAAACUAAAUAAAAAUCUAAGACUCAAAUCUUUCUGUUGUUGUCUUGGAUCCACAAUUAAUCCUACGGAUCCUUAGGAUUGGUAUAUUCUUUUCUAUCCUGUAGUUUGUAGUUUCUCUGAAUCAAGCCAAGUAUUACAACUCUUUUUACCCAUCCUGUAUAUUGUCCCCCUUGUUCCAUAAUUUAUUACUUAUUCUUAGAUUUUAGAUUGUUAGAUUAUUUAGUGAUUAGAUAUUAGUAUUAGAUAGUAUUAGAUNGGAUCCAAGUUGAAAGAGAUAAAUUGAACAAGUAUGGUCGUCCCCUGUUGGGAUGUACUAUUAAACCUAAAUUGGGGUUAUCUGCUAAAAACUAUGAUAGAGCUGUUUCGCGGUGGACUUGAUUUUACCAAAUAUGAUGACNGAAAGAGAUAAAUUGAACAAGUAUGGUCGUCCCCUGUUGGGAUGUACUAUUAAACCUAAAUUGGGGUUAUCUGCUAAAAACUACGGUAGAGCUGUUUAUGAAUGUCUUCGCGGUGGACUUGAUUUUACCAAAGAUGAUGAGAACGUGAACUCACAACCAUUUAUGCGUUGGAGAGAUCGUUUCUGCUUUUGUGCCGAAGCCCU
rnacentral:lncRNA from 1 species